rnacentral:tRNA from 1 species
CCGCUAGCUCAACAGGCAGAGCAUCGGAUUCUUAAUCCGAGGGUUCCAGGUUCAAGUCCUGGGCGGCGCA